rnacentral:rRNA from 1 species
GACGAACGCUGGCGGCGUGCUUAAUGAAUGCGAGUCGAGCGAGAACCGGACUGAGGAAACCUUCGGGUGGAAUCAGUCUGGGGAGAGCGGCAAACGGGUGAGUAACACGUGGGUAACCUGCCCCUCAGACGGGGAUAAUUCGCCGAAAGGCGGACUAAUACCCGAUGGUGAUGUGCCAACACAUGUUGAUACAUCUAAAGGCUCCGGUGCUGAGGGAGGGGUCCGCGGCCGAUUAGCUUGUUGGUAGGGUAACGGCCUACCAAGGCUUCGAUCGGUAGCCGGUCUGAGAGGAUGACCGGUCACACUGGGACUGAGACAUGGUCCAGACUCCUACGGGAGUUAGCAUCAGGGAAUCUUGCGCAAUGGGCGAAAGCCUGACGCAGCGACGCCGCGUGGGUGAUGAAGGCCUGCGGGUCGUAAAGCCCUGUCGGGGAAGGGAAGAAACAGCCACCUUCGGGUGCUUUGACUGUACCUCCGGAGGAAGCCCCGGCUAAUUACGUGCCAGCAGCCGCGGUAAUACGUAAGGGGCCAGCGUUGUCCGGAAUUACUGGGCGUAAAGAGCACGUAGGCGGUUAGGAAAGCGAUAGGUGAAAUCCCCCGGCUCAACCGAGGAACUGCUUAUCGAACUGCCUGACUAGAGCACGGGAGAGGGCACUGGAAUUCCUGGUGUAGCGGUGGAAUGCGUAUAUAUCAGGAGGAACACCGGUGGCGAAGGCUGGUGCCUGGAACGUUGCUGACGCUAAGGUGCGAAAGCCAGGGGAACAAACAGGAUUAGAUACCCCGGUAGUCCUGGCCGUAAACGAUGGACACUAGGUGUUGGAGGUUCGACCCCUUCAGUGCUGUUAAGCUAACGCGUUAAGUGUCCCGCCUGGGGAGUACGGUCGCAAGGCUGAAACUCAAAGGAAUUGACGGGGGCCCGCACAAGCGGUGGAGCAUGUGGGUCAAUGGGAUGAUACGCCGAGAACCUUACCAGGGCUUGACAUGACCCUGAUCCCCUGCGAAAGCAGGUCUUCUGGGCAACCAGACAGGGCCACAGGUGGGUGCAUGGUUGUCGACAGCUCGUGUCGUGAGAUGUUGGGUUAAGUCCCGCAACGAGCGCAACCCUCGCCGGAUGUUGCCAGCGGUUAGGCCGGGCACUCUUCCGGGACUGCCGGAGUAAUCCGGAGGAAGGGGGGGAUGACGUCAAAUCUGCAUGCCCCUUAUGUCCUGGGCUGCACACGUGCUACAAUGGCGAGUACAAAGGGUCGCGAAGCCGCGAGGCCCAGCUAAUCCCCAAAAACUCGUCCCAGUUCGGAUUGGAGUCUGCAACUCGACUCCAUGAAGUCGGAAUCGCUAGUAACCGUGGAUCAGCAAUGCCGCGGUGAAUACGUUCCCGGGCCUUGUACACACCGCCCGUCAAGUCACGGAAGCCGACAGCACCCCAAGUCCGCUACGGCGGCCCAAGGUGAGGUCAGUGACUGGG